rnacentral:lncRNA from 1 species
CAACCUUUUCCAUUUCUCCUCAAACGGUUUUGGAGAAGGGCGGAGUCAUAUCAUUUUAAAGGAAACUUGGAACCUCACCAAUACAAACGCUGGUCGAAUGUUCCCAGAAACUUCCCUGCAUUAGCUCUACCGGGCGCGGGGAGUAGAAAGCGCAUUUCCUGAGUCCUGAAAAGCGCGUGCGCGCCUGUGUGCUGCCGGCGUUUGUGCGCGCCUGUGUUCGUGUGUGUGCGCGCGUACGCGUGUAUGUUCGUGCGCGCUUGCGGGGACGUGCUUGUGGAGGGCGGAGAGAGGGAUGGGCGUGGCUAAUAUGAAAGCUGCACCUUUACUAGUUAGCUACCAUGCGUCAUUAUUUAUCAGAAGAUAUAUGCUGCUUAAACACAAAUACGUUUUAAAAUAUAUUUUAGGCAGUAGGGUUUUGGGGUUUUUUUUGCAAGUUCUUUUAGUGAGUAAAUUUAAUGAUAAAUGAUUUUUUUUUCUUUUGAGACAGUUUGAUCUGUCGCCCAGGAUGGAGUGCAGUGCAGUGGCGCGAUCCUGCAACCUCCGCCUCUCGAGUUCAAGCGAUUCUCCUGCCUCAGCCUCCCGAGUAGCUGGGAUUACAGACGCGCGCCACCCCACCCAGAUGAUCUUUUUAAAUGCAAAAUGCCAUCGACGCAGAAAAUCAAAGAAUCAGCUUAAGUUCCAGAAAAAAGAAA